CGUUGAAACACUUGUUCCCGUACGAUCACUGAAGUUAAACAACAUCAACCCUGGUCACUACCUAGAUGGGUGACCGCUUGAGAAUACCAGAUGCUGUAA